AUUGAACGCUGGCGGCAGGCCUAACACAUGCAAGUCGAGCGAGCGGCGGAAGGGUGAGUAAAGUCUGUGAAACUGCCUGAUGGGGGGGGAUAUAUCAUGGGGACGGUAGCUACUACCGCAUACCAUCAGAUGUGCCCCGCUGGGGUUAGCUAGUAGGUGGGGUAACGACUCACCUCGGCGCCGCUCCCUAGCUGGUCUGAGAGGGUGACCAGCCACACUGGAACUGAGACACGGUCCAGACUCCUACGGGAGGCAGCAGGGGGGAAUAUUGCACAAUGGGCGCAAGCCUGAUCCAGCCAUGCCGCGUGUGUGAAGAAGGCCUUCGGGUUGUAAAGCACUUUCAGCGGGGAGGCGUUACCCGCAGAAGAAGCACCGGCUAACGCCGUGCCAGCAGCCGCGGUAAUUC
rnacentral:rRNA from 1 species